GUGCGCAGGUGGACUGGAAAAGAGGAAGGCAAACGCAGUGGCUAGGCGGAGACCUCCCAAAUCCCACGUCUCCCCGAGAAUCCCCGACGGGCUACAGACCUAGGGCAGCCAUAAGAAAAAACCCCUUGAGGCAUUGAAAUCUCUAAUCCAUGUCUGGAAACAGAUUGAUGGUUCCCGAAAGUCCAGUGGGUAUGCCUCAUUUGAGAGAUCCCUAAGGGCAGGGUCGUGUCUCUCCCCUUACACUGGGAGUUUCCUGAAGCCCAGAUACUGAGUUUCACCCUAAAGAAGGCAGCUCUGAGAGCACUAUAUGUGUCCCCCGUCAGACUGGGAGCUUCCUGAGGACAGGGGCUAAAUUUCACCCAUGAGAGUAACGCUUCAAGAAACACUCUGUCUUCCUGCUUUGAGGACAGCUGAAGUCUUGCCACUUCUUCUGGAUGCUCUGACCAUCAGUAAGAGACACGGUCUGACUUUGUUACCCCGGCUGGAGUGCAGUGGUGCAAUCAUGGCUCACUGCAGCCUUAACCUCCUGGGCUCAAGUGAUCCUCUCGCCAAGGCUAGGAUAAGUAGCUAGGACUACAGAUGCGCCCCAUCACGCCCAGCUAAUUUUACAACUUCUGUAGAGAUGGAGUGUUGCUGGGUUGCCCAGGCUGGUCUUGAAUUCCUGGGCUCAAGCGAUCCUCCUGUGUCCGGAAUUGGUGGGUUCUUGGUCUCACUGACUUCAAGAAUGAAGCCGCGGACCCUCGCGAGUCUGUAUCCACCAGCUACUCUUCCAGAUUCAUGAGGCAAGGCCUGCCUGCUCACCUGGCUGGCCCCAAGCACCUCUUCAACCUGUUGCCACCGUCCUGCCUUGCUGCCCUUCUCAGCUCAUCCAGCAGGGUCUCCAAGUCGUGGAAACAGAAGCACAUAUACACACAUGCUCAUAUGUACAUGCCCACAGUCACAUAAGCACACCGAGAAACACCAUCGCAGACAUGUUCUCACAAGCACAUGUGCAUAACACUCACUACCCCUCACGCGUAUACACAUUAAUACACACACUCAUGCACACUCAGUCUUACACACACAGACACACAGCCAUAAUCACUGUUGUUGGUUGAAUUGUGCCCCCCCAUCCCCACCAAAAAGAUAAGUUGGAGUCCUAACCCCCAGUACCUGGGGAUGUGACCGUAGUUGGAAAUAGGGUGUUUGUAGAUGUAAUCAAAUUAAGAUGAGAUCUUACUGGAUUAGAGUGGGCCUUAAAUCCAGUGACUGGUGUCCUUAUAAGGAGAAAAAGAUUUGAAAACAGAGACAUGGAGACACAGAGCAGAAGGCCAUGUGAUGAUGGAGUCAGAGAUUGGAGUGAUGCAGCUAUGAGCCGAGAAAUACCAAGGUGCUGGCAGCCCCCAGAAGCAAGGAGAGAGGCAAGGAACAAUCUCCAUCAGAGCCUCUGGAAGAAACAGACUCUGCCAACACCUUGAUUUCAGACUUUUGGCCUCCUUCACUGUGCGAGAAUACGUUUCUGUUGUUUUAAACUACUGAGUCACCAAGUCUGUGGUACUGUGUUAUGGCAGCCCCGGCAACAAAUCCAAUCACACACACACACACACACACACACACACACACACACACACACACACACACAGCUGGCUCCAGGCUCAGUGAUGAGCUCAGAGGAGUUCCCCUUGGGAGCUGCUCUUUCUCUGUCUUCCUUCCUUAGUGAUUGGUCCAGUGGAUCCACAAAAGCUCAUGGCCCAGAGCAGGAGCCCAGUCAUUUUUAAUUCCUCUUCCCUGGAGUUCUUAACCAUGCGUUGCCCUCAAAAUCUGCUCUCAAGAUUUGGGUUGCCAUAUUUAGGAGCACCAGAAAACAUACAGGAAUGCUGUGUCUGCUUGCAUCAUAUUAAUUAAAAACUGGAAAUAACCUAAAUGUCCCAGAAUAGGUACAUAAACUGUGGCAUAUCCACUUAAUGGAAUACUACUCAGCAAUACAAAAGGAAAACCUAGUGUUACUUGAGCAACAUGGAUGAACUUCACAGACAUAAUAUUGCACAGCACGAGGCAGACACAAAAGUGUGCAUAUGCUAUGAUUCCAUUUACAUGAGAUUCAAGAACAGGCAAAGCAGAUCUAUGGGGAUAGAAGUCAGAAUAGUGGUUACCUCUGGAAGGUGGAAUUGACUGGGAGGGGCUUCAGGGAACCUCCUGGGGUGCUGAAAACAUUCUGUGCUUGCACCGGGUGGUGGUUAUGUGGGCAUUACAUAAAAUUCACCAAGCUGCACCCUUAAUGAUUUGUACAAUUUGAUGCACAAAUCUAACAUCUCAAGAAGAAUAAAUUUUACAAAGUACCUAAGAAGCAAAUGACCAGAA
rnacentral:lncRNA from 10 species